CAGCCGCCGCGGUAAUACGAAGGGUGCAAGCGUUACUCGGAAUUACUGGGCGUAAAGCGUGCGUAGGUGGUGGUUUAAGUCCGUUGUGAAAGCCCUGGGCUCAACCUGGGAAUUGCAGUGGAUACUGGGUCACUAGAGUGUGGUAGAGGAUAGUGGAAUUUCCGGUGUAGCAGUGAAAUGCGUAGAGAUCGGAAGGAACAUCUGUGGCGAAGGCGACUAUCUGGGCCAACACUGACACUGAGGCACGAAAGCAUGGGGAGCAAACAGGAUUAGAUACCCGAGUAGUCCCUGUCUCUUAUAA
rnacentral:rRNA from 1 species